UGCUCAGGAAUGAUAUUGACAUCAUUGGU
rnacentral:sRNA from 1 species